UAGAAGUGCACAGCAGCGUGAUAUCCGGAGCAAGAGUCCUCCAGAAGAACGGAUAAAUACAUGCGAACGGCUGAUUCUAUGUCCCCCAAGUCCAAAAUGAAAGUCACCAGCAUGCAGAGAGAAUAGCAGAGACGGGGAGACACAAGGAAGGAGUUUGUCUGUAAGAGGUUACGAGGCAGCGCUGCAGAGGUUUCGGUCCCAGUCAGCCAGACCGCCUUUCUCCAGGGAGUUUAUUUCGGGCCCACCGCAUGACCAGCGAUGGCGAGCCAAACUAUAAGAUGUUAUGAGUCUCAGAUUUCCUGUUUGAAGAUUGUACCGAGGAAGCUGCGAUCCUGCCUUCAGAUCCUCUGGGUGCAUCAAUUCCGGACCUCACUUCAGAGAGCAUCUCAGAGCGUGGGCCCUCACGUGACGUCAUCAUUUGUGAUCCUUGGCAUGGAGGCCAUAUAUGGUCGAGGGAGCUGGAGAAACUCACACCAAACCCUGCGGCCUUCUGCCUGCACUCAGCUUUCGGAAACCAAGAGCCCAGACGGUUCUUAAUUCAUCAUAGUUGGGGGUUGCUGCUGCUGCGAGUAAAGGUCUGCAGAGCCUGAGAUGGAUAGGUCGGCCUGUGUGUUGACAUCGCGGGUUGCUAACCUACAAAAUGAACAGGUUGGGCUAACUCGGCAGUUCCCAAUCCUAGCUGCACAUUAGCAUCCUACUAAACAUACCUAUGCCUGCCUCUUCCCCAGAGAGGCCCAAACAGCACUGAUUCCUUAAACUUUUUAUUAAAGUGUAAUAGACCCAC